AACCCGAGAGAGUCGGGCCGUUCCCCUUCGGGGGACAGGGUGACAGGUGGUGCAUGGUUGUCGUCAGCUCGUGUCGUGAGAUGUUGGGUUAAGUCCCGCAACGAGCGCAACCCUCGCCUCUAGUUGCCAGCAUUCGGUUGGGCACUCUAGAGGGACUGCCGGCGACAAGUCGGAGAAGUGGGGAUGACGUCAAAUCAUCAUGCCCCUUAUGUCCUGGGCUACACACGUACUACAAUGGCCGUUACAACGGGAAGCGAAGGAGCAAUCCGGAGCAAAUCCCUUAAAGGCGGUCCCAGUUCAGAUUGUGGGCUGAAACUCGCCCACAUGAAGGCGGAAUUGCUAGUAAUUGCAGAUCAGCAUGCUGCAGUGAAUACGUUCCCGGGCCUU
rnacentral:rRNA from 1 species